UAUCGCGAUACUGCACUCCAGCCUGGGCGACAGAGCGAGACUCCCUCUCAAAAAAAAAAAAAAAACUGUUAGGUAUAUAUUACGGUAUAUAUAUUAAGGCAGACCUGGGUCGGUCUCAUACUGGAAUGCCUAUUAGCUGCAUGAGGGGAAACAGUAACCAGAAAGUAGAGGACUGGACAACAUCUGGACCAAGGGAUCAAAAUUAACAUCAAUAAGUCCUAGAAUCAGGCGUUUCUUUAAGAGGCCCUACUUCCUCUAAUUGGAUAAUUCUAGAAACCGGUAUUUGAAUCUGAGGCGCCGUGGCUUAUGCCUGUAAUCCCAGCACUUUGGGAGGCCAAGGUGGGCGGAUCACCUGAGUUUGGGAGUUCAAGACCAGCCUGACCAACAUGGAGAAACCCCGUCUCUACUAAAAAUACAAAAUUAGCCGGGUGUGGUGGUGCAUGCCUGUAAUGCCAGCUACUCGGGAGCCUAAGGCAGGAGAAUCGCUUGAACCUGGGAGGUGGGGGUUGCGGUGAGCCGAGAUCGCGCCAUAGCACUCCAGCCUGGGCAACAAGAGUGAAACUUCAUCUGAAAAAAAAAAAAGGAAAAGGAAAAGAAAAUUAUACAUUUUUUGCCCAAAACAAAAAUGUGUUCACAAAUUUUAUUUUCCACCAUUUGGAAAUGCGUCUAUAGGCAUACAAGGUCAAGCUUAUAAUUUUCAUAAAUGUAAUUUUGCAAAUCUCAUAAAAACUAAAACUCCUUUUACAUAAUGUAAUGAAUAGGUGAUGGUGGCAUGCAUAAUGCAAUUUUCACAAAUGAAGUUAAAUGUGAGUUCAUAUUUCUGUAUUCAAGAAAAAUAUGAACUAACUCAAUAAAGAUGAGCAAUAUUAACCUUAAGGAGUUAAUCAUCAGAGUGAAUGAGGGAAAAUAGUAUAAUUAGCAAUGUAUGAAGGUAGUCAUUAAGGUGAACCAAGGCACAUAAUAUAGCUUCCCAUAUAAUAUAAACAAAAACCAAAGUUCCCAUAGCAACACAAACUUUUCUCCAACGUACACGUACUAUACAUUGGAUUACUGGUUAGAGCUUUAAUUUACAGUUUCUUUUCCAUUUGUGUAAUAAGGGCAUAUUAACAUGGUUCUGAGAACAAUAAGAUUUAUAUAGUCACAUUCAGCUGUGUUUAGAUUUGCUACCUUCAAACUUAAUUUUCUAUUUAGUUGACAUUCCCUAAAAAUAUGCUAGCAUUUUAGAUCAAUUUCAUUAAAAGUCACACUGAUCUUAUUUGUGGCAAUGUUUGUAAGCAUUUUUAUUCUUUAGCUCGCAUGUUUUAGGAUACACAUGUCAUGUGGAUGUGAAAUUUAAUUUUAAAAACUUUGAUGAUUAAAUAUAGUGAUGUUAAAAUAUAAACUUCUUUGAAAAUUAGGAAAUUUAGUAGCCAGCCCCAAAUUUUUUCACAUAAACAGUAAAAUAAUAGAUGCCACACAAUAACAUUCUUUGUUAAAUAUGGGCAAUUAUUUUUUGCAAGAAAAUUUUUCUCUUCUCUAAUUCUAGCUCAAAUAAUGUAUCCCAUUAUAGCUAUAUUUUUAUUUUGAAUUUCUUCUCUAUAAACAAAAUAGGG
rnacentral:lncRNA from 1 species